rnacentral:rRNA from 1 species
GAUGAACGCUGGCGGCGUGCCUAAUACAUGCAAGUCGAGCGAACAGACGAGGAGCUUGCUCCUCUGACGUUAGCGGCGGACGGGUGAGUAACACGUGGAUAACCUACCUAUAAUACUGGGAUAACUUCGGGAAACCGGAGCUAAUACCGGAUAAUAUAUUGAACCGCAUGGUUCAAUAGUGAAAGACGGUUUUGCUGUCACUUAUAGAUGGAUCCGCGCCGCAUUAGCUAGUUGGUAAGGUAACGGCUUACCAAGGCAACGAUGCGUAGCCGACCUGAGAGGGUGAUCAGCCACACUGGAACUGAGACACGGUCCAGACUCCUACGGGAGGCAGCAGUAGGGAAUCUUCCGCAAUGGGCGAAAGCCUGACGGAGCAACGCCGCGUGAGUGAUGAAGGUCUUCGGAUCGUAAAACUCUGUUAUUAGGGAAGAACAAAUGUGUAAGUAACUAUGCACGUCUUGACGGUACCUAAUCAGAAAGCCACGGCUAACUACGUG